rnacentral:rRNA from 1 species
UACGUAGGGGGCAAGCGUUGUCCGGAAUCAUUGGGCGUAAAGCGCGUGUAGGCGGCCCGGUAAGUCCGCUGUGAAAGUCGGGGCUCAACCCUCGAAUGCCGGUGGAUACUGUCGGGCUAGAGUGCGGGAGAGGCGAGUGGAAUUCCUGGUGUAGCGGUGAAAUGCGCAGAUAUCAGGAGGAACACCAAUUGCGAAGGCAGCUCGCUGGAACGUAACUGACGCUGAGACGCGAAAGCGUGGGGAGCAAACAGG